GCGCACAUAAACUCAACCAGUAUUAUCAAAGAUUUUGUAGUUGAAGCACUGUAUAUUGUCUCUACGUUUUUUUAUUUACUGUGAAGUGUUUCGAGGACCAAUGUGAUUGAACUGUGUAAUAAAACUUGAAGAUUGAUCCUGAGUAGUUGAUUAUGGAGAGAUCUAAGAGUAGAGCACCUUGCGGUCAGAUCCGAAGAAACACCACACGGGAUUUCCUCCGAUCAUUUGUCAGUAGGAACUAGAGAAAGGGGAAUCCAACCAACCAAGCAUCCCUCCACCCCCCUCCA